AUUGAACGCUGGCGGCAGGCCUAACACAUGCAGGUCGAACGGUAGCACAGAGAGCUUGCUCUCGAGUGACGAGUGGCGGACGGGUGAGUAAUGUCUGGGAAACUGCCCGAUGGAGGGGGAUAACUACUGGAAACGGUAGCUAAUACCGCAUAACGUCGCAAGACCAAAGUGGGGGACCUUCGGGCCUCACACCAUCGGAUGUGCCCAGAUGGGAUUAGCUAGUAGGUGGGGUAAUGGCUCACCUAGGCGACGAUCCCUAGCUGGUCUGAGAGGAUGACCAGCCACACUGGAACUGAGACACGGUCCAGACUCCUACGGGAGGCAGCAGUGGGGAAUAUUGCACAAUGGGCGCAAGCCUGAUGCAGCCAUGCCGCGUGUAUGAAGAAGGCCUUCGGGUUGUAAAGUACUUUCAGCGGGGAGGAAGGCGGUGAAGUUAAUAACUUCACCGAUUGACGUUACCCGCAGAAGAAGCACCGGCUAACUCCGUGCCAGCCGCCGCCGUAA
rnacentral:rRNA from 1 species